UCUAAGUAUAAGCAAUUAUACAGCGAAACUGCGAAUGGCUCAUUAAAUCAGUUAUCGUUUAUUUGAUAGUACCUUACUACAUGGAUAACCGUGGUAAUUCUAGAGCUAAUACAUGCUAAAAACCCCGACUUCGGAAGGGGUGUAUUUAUUAGAUUAAAAACCAAUGCCCUUCGGGGCUCACUGGUGAUUCAUGAUAACUUCUCGAAUCGCACGGCCUUGCGCCGGCGAUGGUUCAUUCAAAUUUCUGCCCUAUCAACUUUCGACGGCUGGGUCUUGGCCAGCCGUGGUGACAACGGGUAACGGAGGGUUAGGGCUCGACCCCGGAGAAAACGCCUGAGAAACGGCGUUUACAUCCAAGGAAGGCAGCAGGCGCGCAAAUUACCCAAUGCCGACACGGCGAGGUAGUGACGAGAAAUACUGAUACAGGGCUCUUUUGGGUCUUGUAAUUGGAAUGAGUACAAUUUAAAUCUCNGAACGANGAAAAAGGGGAUUANUAGNNNNNNNNNNNNNNNAGCGGCCUUUCAGCUCCAAUAGCGUAUNUUAAAGUNGUUGCAGUUAAAAAGCUCGUAGUUGAACCUUGGGCCUGGCUGGCCGGUCCGCCUCACCGCGUGCACUGGUCCGGCCGGGCCUUUCCCUCUGGGGAACCGCAUGCCCUUCACUGGGCGUGUCGGGGAACCAGGACUUUUACUUUGAAAAAAUUAGAGUGUUCAAAGCAGGCCUAUGCUCGAAUACAUUAGCAUGGAAUAAUAGAAUAGGACGUGUGGUUCUAUUUUGUUGGUUUCUAGGACCGCCGUAAUGAUUAAUAGGGACAGUCGGGGGCAUCAGUAUUCAAUUGUCAGAGGUGAAAUUCUUGGAUUUAUUGAAGACUAACUACUGCGAAAGCAUUUGCCAAGGAUGUUUUCAUUAAUCAGGAACGAAAGUUAGGGGAUCGAAGACGAUCAGAUACCGUCGUAGUCUUAACCAUAAACUAUGCCGACUAGGGAUCGGACGGUGUUAUUUUUUGACCCGUUCGGCACCUUACACGAAAGUACAAGUUUCUGGGUUCU
rnacentral:rRNA from 1 species